AACUUCUGAAUGUUGACCUCG
rnacentral:rRNA from 1 species